rnacentral:rRNA from 1 species
AUUGAACGCUGGCGGCAGGCUUAACACAUGCAAGUCGAGCGAGCGGCGGACGGGUGAGUAAUGUCUGUGAACCUGCCUGAAGGUGGGGGAUAACUACUGGAAACGGUAGCUCAUACCGCAUACCAUCAGAUGUGCCCAGAUGGGAGUAGCUAGUCGGUGGGGUAAUGGCGCACCUAGGCGACGAUCCCUAGCUGGUCUGAGAGGAUGACCAGCCACACUGGAACUGAGACACGGUCCAGACUCCUACGGGAGGCAGCAGUGGGGAAUAUUGCACGAUGGGCGCAAGCCUGAUGCAGCCAUGCCGCGUGUGUGAAGAAGGCCUUCGGGUUGUAAAGCACUUUCAGCGAGGAGGCGUUACUCGCAGAAGAAGCACCGGCUAACUCCGUGCCAGCAGCCGCGGUAAUAC